rnacentral:rRNA from 1 species
AUUGAACGCUGGCGGCAGGCCUAACACAUGCAAGUCGAGCGGAUGAAGGGAGCUUGCUCCUGGAUUCAGCGGCGGACGGGUGAGUAAUGCCUAGGAAUCUGCCUGGUAGUGGGGGAUAACGUCCGGAAACGGGCGCUAAUACCGCAUACGUCCUGAGGGAGAAAGUGGGGGAUCUUCGGACCUCACGCUAUCAGAUGAGCCUAGGUCGGAUUAGCUAGUUGGUGGGGUAAAGGCCUACCAAGGCGACGAUCCGUAACUGGUCUGAGAGGAUGAUCAGUCACACUGGAACUGAGACACGGUCCAGACUCCUACGGGAGGCAGCAGUGGGGAAUAUUGGACAAUGGGCGAAAGCCUGAUCCAGCCAUGCCGCGAGUGUGAAGAAGGUCUUCGGAUUGUAAAGCACUUUAAGUUGGGAGGAAGGGCAGUAAGUUAAUACCUUGCUGUUUUGACGUUACCAACAGAAUAAGCACCGGCUAACUUCGUG